GGGAGAGUACCCAAGUUGGCCAAAGGGGGCAGACUGUAAAUCUGUUGUCAGUGACUUCAGUGGUUCGAAUCCGCUCUCUCCCACCA
rnacentral:tRNA from 1 species